UACAGAGAGUGCAAGCGUUGUUCGGAAUUAUUGGGCGUAAAGCGCAUGUAGGCGGCUUUGCAAGUCAGAUGUGAAAGCCCUCGGCUUAACCGAGGAAGUGCGUCUGAAACUGCAGAGCUUGAGUCUCGGAGAGGAUGGCGGAAUUCCGCAAGUAGAGGUGAAAUUCGUAGAUAUGCGGAGGAACACCGGUGGCGAAGGCGGCCAUCUGGACGAGAACUGACGCUGAGACGCGAAAGCGUGGGGAGCAAAC
rnacentral:rRNA from 1 species